rnacentral:rRNA from 1 species
CAGCCGUAAACUAUGCUCGCUAGGUGUCAGGCAUGGCGCGACCGUGUCUGGUGCCGCAGGGAAGCCGUGAAGCGAGCCACCUGGGAAGUACGGCCGCAAGGCUGAAACUUAAAGGAAUUGGCGGGGGGAGCACAACAACGGGUGGAGCCUGCGGUUUAAUUGGACUCAACGCCGGACAACUCACCGGGAACGACUGUUACAUGAAAGUCAGGUUGAUGACCUUACUAGAUUUUCAGAGAGGAGGUGCAUGGCGUAGACGUCU